CAGCAGCUCUGCACUUUGUAGGCCAGUGAAAAGACUAUUUACCUUGCUUAGUGAUACUGUGGGUUAGAAUCCUCCCUCUGCUAGCCUUAAGAAGGGCUUUGGAGGGGUUUCAAAUGCAGUUGUGCUGCAUGUGCCAUGGGCAAUGUAGGGCUUCCCUGUCUGUGAAAGCUGUUUUAAUUAAAUGUUGGCUAGGCCAGGAGCUGUUUCCUCUGUAAUCCAGAGGUCUGGCUGUGGGCUUGGACUGUAGCAGGUGUGGGUUUGAGGCUACCCUGGAGCCUGUACCUAUCCCUGCCCGGUCAUAGCCCUGGGCUUGCUGCUCUCUUAUCGUUGAAGCUGUUCUGCUUGACUUAAAUGUGCCUUGGGCCAGACUCACAGCUACCAUCACGCUCUAGUGCAGUUGCUUAAACAAGACAGCAGGAGACUGGAGGCAUGCAUUGUGAACAGCGACUGCUGGGCAUGUGUGAUGGUUUGAUUUUUAUCUCUACUAGGGAUGUAUUACUGAGAAUUGGCCUGGAGAGGGUUGAAGAUCUCAUUGAUCACUGCCAGUUCGAUCGUUUUGGCCAUAUAGCCUGUGCCUGCCUCAGAGGAAAAGUCCCUGCACACUCAUCCCGGAAGACUGGACUUAAGGUACCAAGCUAUCUUACUUCUAAACAAGAUAAAGAAGCCUGGAAAUUAUUGUAAAUCCCCUGCUUAUCAUUUGAGACACACCCGAAUUCUGAUAUGAAGCAAAGGAGCAUCAAGUUAUAGGCUGAUGACAAAUGGCAGCCAGAUGCCACAGCAGACUUGUCCAAUUACCAAAGUCCUUCACUGGUCAAGUGGCUAGCCUGACUGUACAUGGAAGUCAGUACAACACAACACCACGAUCACAAUUCAAAUGAGGUCUUUUGUGAUAUACAGGCAUGAAGUAUACUAGGUGCUGUGCCUGCCCUUCAGCUGCACCCUCACUAUAAUUUCGUCGGAUCUACAGUCCCAUUGUCCUAGUUUCUAAGGAAGGAAGGAAAACAAGGGAAGACUCUUUAACCAACACACAGAGGAAUAAUGAAACUCACUACACACUGAGUGCUCUGAAACACACCAAGUGAGACAUCUAGAAAAACAAAGAAAUCCUUUGGCUCUCUCCUCCCUGGAUUACAGUGACCUUAGCUAUUCCUUGUAACAAUAUGUGAGGACAUCUCAGGCAGGUGAUUUUUAAGUUGAUGAUGUUCUUUUAAGCAGGUAUGGUCAGGGUAAGGAGUGACUGUAGAUCACUUUGAAAUGAUACAUUGAGAACACUGGAUUGAAAAAUCUUAUAUUCACUGACCCACAAACAACAUGUGUGGAUAAUUAUUUGUCUAAGGAAUCUUUUUCAGAAGAUAGAUGCAUAAAGCCUGAGUUUCAGGACAGUGGUCAUUAUAACAACACUUUGACCUUCUCCGCUGGCUUUCAUCCCCAAACCUCCACCAAGUGACAGAAUCCUUCUGGAAGGUGGGUUUUAUCAUCACACUUUGUAGAUUAUGCAGUGGAGGGAAAGUGCAGAUGUGAUUUGCCUUAGGUCAUACAGGGUGCAAGAGGUACAGGUGGGAAUAGAACCCAAGAAUCCUGGCUCCCUGCCACUUGCUCUAAUCACUAGACACAAUUUCCUCCUGUAAGUGAAAGGGGCAUGUCACUGGUGCUAUAAUAGGGACAUCUCCCUUUUUUUCUUCAUGCAGCAUAGACAAUGUUCCCGGCUCCUAAUGGGGAGUCCUUAGGUUUUGGCCUUGGGGAUAAUAGCUUAGAAAGAAGGGUCAAAAUAAGCAGCUGAUGAAGCUCAAUACUGCAGCAAACGUGAUGUGCAUUAUUUGAUGCAAAAGCUGCUUUAGUCUCAUAGAAAAAUUUAUGGUCUAUCAUGUGUGUCCUUGAGAGGGUUGGUGAAGGGCAAGAGAAAAUGUAUGGAUAUGGGAAGGAAAAGCACCUGGUUUUUCUUACAGAUCUUUUCCCCUCUAAUCAGAACAACAUGGAGAGAAACCUUCAUCAGACUCCUUCCAAUGGCCAGCUUUGAAACUCCCCUCCCAACAAUUAGAAUACAGAAUUUAAUUCCUAUUUAUUCCACAUACUGCAGCUGAAUCCUUGUCCCCUUUCAUCCCCGCUUACUCCAUUCAUUCAUUGGAAUCUCUUGAUGGCCUGGGUUUCUAAAGGUGGUUUUGUUUGGUAAUAACAAUGGCCCUGUAAGGCUUUUAACCUUAAAUUUAUCGGUAUGGAAUCGCUGCCUUAAUUCUAUUUUAGCAAAGUUUUUAUCUAAAAAUGUAAUUUAUGUCAAUACACUUCUAAAAUAGAACCUGAAAAUCCCUUUCUUCCCCUACAUGUACCUAGAAAUUAAGAAACAUGUAACCUAGAAAUUAAGAAACCAUUUGUUUCAUACAUUAUCUCUCUCUCUACUGGCUUUACAAAAACCUGUGGCAAUUAAAACACUACAGGAUGCUCUGGAAGUGGGAAGUCUCACAUUGAGUUUUGAACAAUUCAUUCAAUGUAGAGGAAAGACUGGAAAAAAAGAACUAUGCAACUAAGAUUGAAAGAACUAUUGAAACAAGCAAGCGAGAAGGCUGAUAGUUUGCCUUCUGCAAUGCAUUCUGAGAACCUCAGAGCCUUUUACAUUGUUUCAGCUUUGCAACGCCUUUAAAGAGUGGUAAAAUUUAAAGAACAGAAAAGUUUACUAACUUUUCCUAUGACACAUGGAAAAUCAGUAGAAAAUCUUAGACUAGAACUGGGAAUCCUGACUAAAAACCCCAUGCUGCAGCCACUCGAUCAGCUCCCUCCUUCACACAAAAAGCCUAAAAGCAAUGGUGCAUUUUUUUUUCAAAGUAUGUUAAAAUAUAAUUUAUCGUUGUUUGUGUCUACUCAAAUUUAUUAAUAAUUAAUUGAGAUAGGAUUAAUUUGAAGAGGAAAAAUUCACUUUGCACCUAUUACACUUCUGGAUGGCUUUCAAAUUUCCACAAAAGAGUUGCAUGAUACAAGAUCAGUGCUAACACCAGUAAACUUAGCAGAACAUAGAUAAUGCAUGAACCACAAAUGAGUACAACCAGCCCUAGCUUACUGUGAAACAGUGAGUAAUCUGUUUGUGCAGGAAGGCUCUCUGUGAGCCUAGGACUUUAGACUUAGGCUCUUCAGCAGGCUAUUUUUAAAGAGGCAAAGGUUGAUCUUGUGCUUAAAGCCUGGGUCUGGCAGUCAGUCUACCUAUAUUCUCAGUCUGCCAUAGACUGCAUGUGAGGCAAGUCUCUGUGUCUGAUCUGUAACAUCAGGCUAAAAUCUCUGUUGGUCAUAGGAGUGCCGUGCAGCUAAAUUUAUGGAUGUUUCUAAAGUGCUCUGUGGUCAUCCUCCUACUGAAGGUGAUGCAGAAGGGCAAAGUGUUAAGAUUAUUAUAACUGACUGUAAUGAUAA